rnacentral:rRNA from 1 species
AGUGAACGCUGGCGGUAGGCCUAACACAUGCAAGUCGAACGGCAGCACAGGAGAGCUUGCUCUCUGGGUGGCGAGUGGCGGACGGGUGAGGAAUACAUCGGAAUCUACUCUGUCGUGGGGGAUAACGUAGGGAAACUUACGCUAAUACCGCAUACGACCUACGGGUGAAAGUGGGGGACCGCAAGGCCUCACGCGAUUGAAUGAGCCGAUGUCGGAUUAGCUAGUUGGCGGGGUAAAGGCCCACCAAGGCGACGAUCCGUAGCUGGUCUGAGAGGAUGAUCAGCCACACUGGAACUGAGACACGGUCCAGACUCCUACGGGAGGCAGCAGUGGGGAAUAUUGGACAAUGGGCGCAAGCCUGAUCCAGCCAUACCGCGUGAGUGAAGAAGGCCCUCGGGUUGUAAAGCUCUUUUGUUGGGAAAGAAAUCCUGUUGGCUAAUACCCGGCGGGGAUGACGGUACCCAAAGAAUAAGCACCGGCUAACUUCGUGCCAGCAGCCG